rnacentral:misc_RNA from 1 species
GCCCUGAUGAGAAGAGUCCUCUGUAGAUCUCCUUCGCCUUUCUCUGCAAUUCUACACUUGUCUCAAACUCCUCUUCACUGCAACAAUGGUGGGUCUUUGCCAAAGUUGGGUCCUACUCCCAGCUUCACCUUAACUUUCAGGUGGGUUUUCAUGUGCAAUUCUCUUCCUCCUCCAGAAUGGAUAGACCCCUUCAUUGACCUGUCUGAUGUAGCCUCAAGAAACUAUCAAGACCUUAAGCCCUCG